rnacentral:rRNA from 1 species
UCUUGGUCAUUUAGAGGAAGUAAAAGUCGUAACAAGGUUUCCGUAGGUGAACCUGCGGAAGGAUCAUUAAAGAAAUUUAAUAAUUUUGAAAAUGGAUUUUUUUGUUUUGGCAAGAGCAUGAGAGCUUUUACUGGGCAAGAAGACAAGAGAUGGAGAGUCCAGCCGGGCCUGCGCUUAAGUGCGCGGUCUUGCUAGGCUUGUAAGUUUCUUUCUUGCUAUUCCAAACGGUGAGAGAUUUCUGUGCUUUUGUUAUAGGACAAUUAAAACCGUUUCAAUACAACACACUGUGGAGUUUUCAUAUCUUUGCAACUUUUUCUUUGGGCAUUCGAGCAAUCGGGGCCCAGAGGUAACAAACACAAACAAUUUUAUCUAUUCAUUAAAUUUUUGUCAAAAACAAGAAUUUUCGUAACUGGAAAUUUUAAAAUAUUAAAAACUUUCAACAACGGAUCUCUUGGUUCUCGCAUCGAUGAAGAACGCAGCGAAAUGCGAUACGUAAUGUGAAUUGCAGAAUUCCGUGAAUCAUCGAAUCUUUGAACGCACAUUGCGCCCCUUGGUAUUCCAGGGGGCAUGCCUGUUUGAGCGUCAUUUCCUUCUCAAACAUUCUGUUUGGUAGUGAGUGAUACUCUUUGGAGUUAACUUGAAAUUGCUGGCCUUUUCAUUGGAUGUUUUUUUUCCAAAGAGAGGUUUCUCCGCGUGCUUGAGGUAUAAUGCAAGUACGGUCGUUUUAGGUUUUACCAACUGCGGCUAAUCUUUUUUUAUACUGAGCGUAUUGGAACGUUAUCGAUAAGAAGAGAGCGUCUAGGCGAACAAUGUUCUUAAAGUUUGACCUCAAAUCAGGUAGGAGUACCCGCUGAACUUAAGCAUAUCAAUAAGCGGAG